CAAACUGCAUGAAGCUAGGAGGUGGUUGCAGGCAUCGUCCUCCAGUCCCAGGGAACUCAGAGGGCACCAACGGUGUCAGCUACAGCUCUAUCUCUCAUGAGCACAGGUCCAACUCCCCCUUGGUUAUUUCUGAAGAGUUCCGACAAGGCUCUGUCGUUUCCUUGCUGUGGCGUAUUUCCUGUCCCUUCACUAGACUCCUUUGGUUUUGUCAGUCUGCUCCCCUGAGCAUCUGGGAGCUGCUCCUUUCAGGUGUAAUCCUGUUUCCGUGGUCAGCUGCGUCCUGAAGAUCUAAAACCUAGAAUACAGCCUGAAACCUAGUAAAUACUGGACAAGUGCUUUCAGAUGAGGAAAUGAAUACAUUCAGCCUUUAGUUUUUAAAGAAUGAAUUACCCACUGCCAAAACACAGCAUGUAUCUCCAGUGACUGUAAUGUUCUUGUCUACCAGUGUGGCAGGAAGGAGUAGAAGAAUUAAUGAAUGGUGACAUGGGGAAACUAAGAUUGGAGCUCUUUGACUAAUCAGACUAAUCAGGAAAUUCUACACUUGAGUGGCCACCAGAAGGUUGCCUCCUGUCCACUUUCUUGUCUCUUGCAUGUGUUUCAGCCAUACAUCAGAGCCAGCCCCAGACCAUCCCCUGUUCUGGUAAAACCUAUUCUAGUUUCUCCUGAGGAUAAAGAGAACUGGAAAUUGCAUCACCUCCACACUUCACAUGAAAAAAGUUGAACAGACUACAACUUCAUUAAUUAUUUUGCGCCUGUCAGAGGGUGGGGAUCACAGUGCAGUAUACAAAGGUAAACCAACACAAGAAUUUUCCCUACCCCAACCCAACAACCAUCAGCAGCCUAGCAAGCAUCAAGUAACAAGUAAAGUGAA